rnacentral:misc_RNA from 1 species
GAUGAAGAACGCAGCGAAAUGCGAUACUUGGUGUGAAUUGCAGAAUCCCGUGAACCAUCGAGUCUUUGAACGCAAGUUGCGCCUCAAGCCAUUAGGUUGAGGGCACGUCUGCCUGGGCGUCACAUAUCGUUGCCUGAUGCCAGUUUCCUCGUGAGGGGUGACUGUGCAGGGCGAAUGAUGGCUUCCCGUGAGCAUUGUUGCCUCAUGGUUGGUUGAAAAUUGAGUCCUUGGUAGGGAGCGCCGUGAUAGAUGGUGGUUGAGUGACGAACGAGACCCAAUCAUGUGAGACCCCUACCGAAUUUGGCCUUCAUGACCCACAUGCGUCUUUGGAACGCUCAUGACGAGACCUCAGGUCAGGCGGGGCUACCCGCUGAGUUUAAGCAUAUCAAUAAGCGGAGGA